rnacentral:sRNA from 4 species
CCCUAGCCCCGAUAGUGAAAAUCCUUUUGUGCCGGGGUUCGGCACAAAAGAUUGUAACGAUAGCGGGAUUAGCU